GAGUUCCGUCGUUCUUGGGAUCUCCUCUUGUCUGUGAUGUAUAAACAAGUGGUGCAACUACAAAGGUUGCACAGCCUACUUCGUCUGGAGAGACUGGCAGGACCUCACAAACUCAGACUGACGUGAGAAAAAACAACUCUGCUGAAACGAACACACGUGACGGACCGAGUUGCUUUUCCCAAAAGAUCCCGUUGUCAACAAAUCAGGAGGACAAUGACCGGAACCUAGAAAGCAGAACUUCAUCAGAGAGAGUUGUUUUCUCUUUCAGUGACGUCUCCAAGUUGACUAUCUUACUAGCAAAAACCUUUUCUUAUUUGCAACAUCAAACUAUUCACUCUUUACAGUUUGGGUUCAGGCUUGAUGUCUCAUAAGUAAAGGGAGCAACCAUAUUUAUGUUUCUCUCUCAAUAUUAUGAAAAUAUUACUUCUCAUAUCCUACCACAGGGCGGCGCUCUUGCUCCAUUCUGAAGAAGAAAAAACACUGACGAACAGCAACAGAAAACUGUUCAGUGCAGUCCAGAUAUCCACUUUCUGAUGCCUUACCCUGUUGCCAAACAAAGAAUUUCAAGCCUUUCACCUGACAUACUCCUGUUUUAUUUGUAAUGUAUUUAAUUAAUUAAUUCAAUACUUUAUUACAGAUGUAGAAUGUAAUGGGUAACUCGAUAUCCAAUUCAUGACUUUAGAGUGCUGAACCUUUUAAAUGAGGAUUGUGCAAUUCAAGAGUGUGCCUUCAAUUUAUUUCAGGACCGAAUUGAAAUGAGGUUGACCCCAACCCUGGCUAUAACGUUUAAUUGAAAUGAGGUUGACCCCAACCCUGGCUAUAACGUUUAAUUGAAAUGAGGUUGACCCCAACCCUGGCUAUAACGUUUAAUUGAAAUGAGGUUGACCCCAACCCUGGCUAUCACAUUUAAUUGAAAUGAGGUUGACCCCAACCCUGCCUAUAACGUUUUUAUGCUGAAGGAAUUCUCUGUACAGCCUAUCGUGGUGAAGGGGUACGCCUAACUGAAUUACAGUGCCUUCAGGUAUUGACUUUUUCCCGUAUUUUGUACUGUUACAGCCUGAAUGUAAAAUGGAUUACAUUUAGAUUUUGUGUCACUGGUUUACACACAAUAUCCCAUAAUGUCAAUGUGGAAUUAUGUUUUUGUAAUUUUUACAGAUGAAUAAAAAAUGAAAAGCUGAAACUUAA